rnacentral:lncRNA from 1 species
AAGAAAGAACGUUUUGAUUCGAGGCGGAUCCCUUUUUUGUUUGUCUUUACGGGUUGAGUAAACAAAAAAAAGAAAAAAGCUUUCUCAUUUUUUUUAACACACUCUAAUGACAAAGCGUCCGUUCACGUCAGGGUCCGAAGGCUGCUUUGACUUUCAUCGAGAUUGGCUUGGUGUUCAGUGACUGGCCUUUCUCUUGUUGU